AGCGUACACGGUGGAUGCCCUGGCAGUCAGAGGCGAUGAAGGACGUGCUAAUCUGCGAUAAGCGUCGGUAAGGUGAUAUGAACCGUUAUAACCGGCGAUUUCCGAAUGGGGAAACCCAGUGUGUUUCGACACACUAUCAUUAACUGAAUCCAUAGGUUAAUGAGGCGAACCGGGGGAACUGAAACAUCUAAGUACCCCGAGGAAAAGAAAUCAACCGAGAUUCCCCCAGUAGCGGCGAGCGAACGGGGAGCAGCCCAGAGCCUGAAUCAGUGUGUGUGUUAGUGGAAGCGUCUGGAAAGGCGCGCGAUACAGGGUGACAGCCCCGUACACAAAAAUGCACAUGCUGUGAGCUCGAUGAGUAGGGCGGGACACGUGGUAUCCUGUCUGAAUAUGGGGGGACCAUCCUCCAAGGCUAAAUACUCCUGACUGACCGAUAGUGAACCAGUACCGUGAGGGAAAGGCGAAAAGAACCCCGGCGAGGGGAGUGAAAAAGAACCUGAAACCGUGUACGUACAAGCAGUGGGAGCACGCUUCGGCGUGUGACUGCGUACCUUUUGUAUAAUGGGUCAGCGACUUAUAUUCUGUAGCAAGGUUAACCGAAUAGGGGAGCCGAAGGGAAACCGAGUCUUAACUGGGCGUUAAGUUGCAGGGUAUAGACCCGAAACCCGGUGAUCUAGCCAUGGGCAGGUUGAAGGUUGGGUAACACUAACUGGAGGACCGAACCGACUAAUGUUGAAAAAUUAGCGGAUGACUUGUGGCUGGGGGUGAAAGGCCAAUCAAACCGGGAGAUAGCUGGUUCUCCCCGAAAGCUAUUUAGGUAGCGCCUCGUGAAUUCAUCUCCGGGGGUAGAGCACUGUUUCGGCAAGGGGGUCAUCCCGACUUACCAACCCGAUGCAAACUGCGAAUACCGGAGAAUGUUAUCACGGGAGACACACGGCGGGUGCUAACGUCCGUCGUGAAGAGGGAAACAACCCAGACCGCCAGCUAAGGUCCCAAAGUCAUGGUUAAGUGGGAAACGAUGUGGGAAGGCCCAGACAGCCAGGAUGUUGGCUUAGAAGCAGCCAUCAUUUAAAGAAAGCGUAAUAGCUCACUGGUCGAGUCGGCCUGCGCGGAAGAUGUAACGGGGCUAAACCAUGCACCGAAGCUGCGGCAGCGACACUAUGUGUUGUUGGGUAGGGGAGCGUUCUGUAAGCCUGUGAAGGUGUGCUGUGAGGUAUGCUGGAGGUAUCAGAAGUGCGAAUGCUGACAUAAGUAACGAUAAAGCGGGUGAAAAGCCCGCUCGCCGGAAGACCAAGGGUUCCUGUCCAACGUUAAUCGGGGCAGGGUGAGUCGACCCCUAAGGCGAGGCCGAAAGGCGUAGUCGAUGGGAAACAGGUUAAUAUUCCUGUACUUGGUGUUACUGCGAAGGGGGGACGGAGAAGGCUAUGUUGGCCGGGCGACGGUUGUCCCGGUUUAAGCGUGUAGGCUGGUUUUCCAGGCAAAUCCGGAAAAUCAAGGCUGAGGCGUGAUGACGAGGCACUACGGUGCUGAAGUAACAAAUGCCCUGCUUCCAGGAAAAGCCUCUAAGCAUCAGGUAACAUCAAAUCGUACCCCAAACCGACACAGGUGGUCAGGUAGAGAAUACCAAGGCGCUUGAGAGAACUCGGGUGAAGGAACUAGGCAAAAUGGUGCCGUAACUUCGGGAGAAGGCACGCUGAUAUGUAGGUGAAGCGACUUGCUCGUGGAGCUGAAAUCAGUCGAAGAUACCAGCUGGCUGCAACUGUUUAUUAAAAACACAGCACUGUGCAAACACGAAAGUGGACGUAUACGGUGUGACGCCUGCCCGGUGCCGGAAGGUUAAUUGAUGGGGUCAGCGCAAGCGAAGCUCUUGAUCGAAGCCCCGGUAAACGGCGGCCGUAACUAUAACGGUCCUAAGGUAGCGAAAUUCCUUGUCGGGUAAGUUCCGACCUGCACGAAUGGCGUAAUGAUGGCCAGGCUGUCUCCACCCGAGACUCAGUGAAAUUGAACUCGCUGUGAAGAUGCAGUGUACCCGCGGCAAGACGGAAAGACCCCGUGAACCUUUACUAUAGCUUGACACUGAACAUUGAGCCUUGAUGUGUAGGAUAGGUGGGAGGCUUUGAAGUGUGGACGCCAGUCUGCAUGGAGCCGACCUUGAAAUACCACCCUUUAAUGUUUGAUGUUCUAACGUUGACCCGUGAUCCGGGUUGCGGACAGUGUCUGGUGGGUAGUUUGACUGGGGCGGUCUCCUCCUAAAGAGUAACGGAGGAGCACGAAGGUUGGCUAAUCCUGGUCGGACAUCAGGAGGUUAGUGCAAUGGCAUAAGCCAGCUUGACUGCGAGCGUGACGGCGCGAGCAGGUGCGAAAGCAGGUCAUAGUGAUCCGGUGGUUCUGAAUGGAAGGGCCAUCGCUCAACGGAUAAAAGGUACUCCGGGGAUAACAGGCUGAUACCGCCCAAGAGUUCAUAUCGACGGCGGUGUUUGGCACCUCGAUGUCGGCUCAUCACAUCCUGGGGCUGAAGUAGGUCCCAAGGGUAUGGCUGUUCGCCAUUUAAAGUGGUACGCGAGCUGGGUUUAGAACGUCGUGAGACAGUUCGGUCCCUAUCUGCCGUGGGCGCUGGAGAACUGAGGGGGGCUGCUCCUAGUACGAGAGGACCGGAGUGGACGCAUCACUGGUGUUCGGGUUGUCAUGCCAAUGGCACUGCCCGGUAGCUAAAUGCGGAAGAGAUAAGUGCUGAAAGCAUCUAAGCACGAAACUUGCCCCGAGAUGAGUUCU
rnacentral:rRNA from 1 species